rnacentral:misc_RNA from 1 species
UGCGUUGCUUGCUUGAAACAUUUAUACAGUGCGUGUUCGGCAUCGUCUGGUUCUUUGUUACACUCUCAACGCUUAUUAUGAGUACUUCUAUUUAUCCUAUAUCUGUUCUCUGACUUUAUUCUCCAAGUCUAUACGCUGCAUCGCUCACGUAGGACAUGCACAGUGCAUGUUCGGCAUCAUCUGGUUCUUCAUUACAUUGUCAGCACUUAUUAUGACUACUUUUAUUUAUGUUAGAUUUUUUCCUGUUGCCUUCUUAACUCUUCCACUAGUGUGUGCUUCAAUAUUCCGUAUGUAUUCACUUAAAUUUGGUAGUAAGCUUUUCAUAACUGUUUCGGCUUUUGUGUAUACCUUUUUUCGAUGUGAGUAGUGAAUUUCCUAUUAUUAUCAAGUUCUAGUCCAAAGUAUUUUAUAACAUUCUUUUUUUUAAUUUUCUCAGGUUAUAAUUGUCAAUCUUAAUUUUUAUUACUUUUGGUAUUCUCAUACCUGUAAGUAAAGUGGUCUCAGUUUUUUUUUCAUUGGCCAACUGUAAGUCUGUUGUCGAACAUCAAUUAUUAACAGUUAUCAUCAUUUCUUUUAGUUUAACUUUAAUAUUGUUAUAAAUAUUUAAUAUUCUUUUCUUUCUUUCUUUUUUUUUAAAUUGUUUCAGCUGAUCGUCGUAUACUAUGUUUUACAAAAAUGGACCCAUAACCAAUCCCUGUGGAAUUCCUGCACAUACAUUUCUUUUUACGAAUAAUUACUUAUCUACAAGCCUCAUUGAUUUAUAAGGUACUUUUAUCUUUUUAAUUUCUUCCAAUAUCUUUGUUUAUUUUAUUGAAUUAACGUAUUUUAUAUUUAAAUAGUGGCU